GUACCCGUAGCUCAGUUGGAUAGAGCGCUGGCUUGCGGAGCCAGAGGUCACAAGUUCGAAUCUUGUCGGGUACACCA
rnacentral:tRNA from 1 species